AUUGAACGCUGGCGGCAGGCCUAACACAUGCAAGUCGAGCGGAUGAAGGGAGCUUGCUCCUGGAUUCAGCGGCGGACGGGUGAGUAAUGCCUAGGAAUCUGCCUGGUAGUGGGGGAUAACGUCCGGAAACGGGUGCUAAUACCGCAUACGUCCUGAGGGAGAAAGUGGGGGAUCUUCGGACCUCACGCUAUCAGAUGAGCCUAGGUCGGAUUAGCUAGUUGGUGGGGUAAAGGCCUACCAAGGCGACAAUCCGUAACUGGUCUGAGAGGAUGAUCAGUCACACUGGAACUGAGACACGGUCCAGACUCCUACGGGAGGCAGCAGUGGGGAAUAUUGGACAAUGGGCGAAAGCCUGAUCCAGCCAUGCCGCGUGUGUGAAGAAGGUCUUCGGAUUGUAAAGCACUUUAAGUUGGGAGGAAGGGCAGUAAGUUAAUACCUUGCUGUUUUGACGUUACCAACAGAAUAAGCACCGGCUAACUUCGUG
rnacentral:rRNA from 1 species